GAGACCUCAACCUCUGAGACAAUCACCAUGUUUGCUGUGAAAGCAGUUUGCCUCCUUGCCACCGUAGCUCUGCUUGUUGCAAUGGUGGCUGCGGCCCCUCAGAGUGAGAACCGUUGUGAAUGGCGGGGUAUGUAUCAGAUCAUUUGUCUCAAACAAUUUGGAUGAAGAGACAUCAAGCAUCCACUGAAGACUUCAAUCACUAAAAAAACAAUGUGGUCAAAUUAAAUAAAGUAUUCAUGCAUAUGUA